ensembl:lncRNA
CAUUUUCAGUGUCAAUGCGAUAAUAGAGUUCAGGCUAAAAUGCAAGGUGUGUGUAUGCAUACAUAUAUGCAUGUGGUUACUUCACCGUAGUGUUCAAUGUGUUAUGGUACCUUUUUAAUGUCUACUCACUUGUAUUGUUGUAGGAUUUUUAUAGAAAGAAACCACAAUGUAUCACCACAUUAUUUUGCUUCUCGUUUACAUGAAGCUAAUCCCUGUUCAACCUUAUAUCACUUGUCCCACCCAUUUCACCUUGAAAAUGGUCAUGACACCACUUUCUGUUGCAAAUCACAAUUUCUCAACUUGAAAAACUCCUUUGUAACAUUAAACUACCACGAAGUGUGGAUAUACUUGCGGUAUCAUAUGAAUAUUCCAUAGUGGUGGAGUACUAGUGUAUGCAAUACAAAAAGCCAAUGUAAGUUUUAUUAGGCAGAAUGAGAGUGUGUAAAUUCAAGUUUUCAGAAAUUAUAGUAACAUGCCAGAGAGGUGGUCAAAAAACAGGUCCAUAGGGUUAAACUAGUGCAAUUGACACAUUGACACUAGUUGAACAUAGGAAGUACAGUGAAUGAACAAACCAGGAACAAGGGAACCCAAUGUUUGGAAAUGACACGAACAGAGAACAUAAACACAGAGGGAAACCCAGAGGAUUUAAAUAAACAAAUGAUUUAGGGAGGAACCAGAAACCUGUGAGGCUGUCGCAUUCAAACCCUCAUCAAAUUCAACCAGGAGCACAGACUCCUUUUCUGAGGCAGUCCAGGAAUUACCUCACUGGCAAUCAUCAUGUUACUAGUCAGCUGUGACUCAACAAAAACACUCAUUUGAGGACUAUAUAAACAAGCCACAUACUCACACAUCGCUAAGUCUUGCCAUUGUUUUCCCUGUGUAUUACUAAGGAGUGUAUUCUGAUUCUGUUAUUGACCUUCGCUUCAUUUACUUAAUCUGCUUUAUUUACUUCCCUUUUUCUGUUUGACCAAAAGGAACAAACAGGACAAAAAGAGCACAGAGUAUGGGACAUGAUGGAACAAAAUGAGACAAGAGGAACUGUAAAUACAGUUUGGAGAAGUCUGAUGUACAUGCCCUCUGGUCCUUUCCUGAUCUCUCUCAAAAUCACUUCGUAAAUCAACACACUGGGUAAAUCCUUUCAAUAGACCCAUCCCACUUGUGGUUGGCACUCUAUCCAGGGUGUCCCCUGCCUUGUGCCUCGAGUUCCCUGGGAUAGGCUCCAAGCUUCCUGCAACCCUGUGUAGGAUAAGGGGGAGAACACUAACUCCAGGAUCUCAGCCUGUCUGUGAUGAUUUAUGAUUGUACAGGGGUGAAAUGUCUAUUCAAUCUUACUGCCCCUAGUGGGACAUAGUGUCUGUGUUUCUCUGACCAGCAAGUGAAAGUCUGGCUUACAGUAAUUCUCUCUCUCUCUCUCUCUCUCUCUCUCUCUCUCUCUCUCUGUCUCUCUGUGUGUGUGUGUGUGUGUGUGUGUGUGUGUGUGUGUGUGUGUGUGUGUGUGUGUGUUUAUUUGAGAGUCUGGCCAUAUGUUCUCUCUUCUCCAGGAGGCAAAUGGAUGUUAGAAUGGAGGUAAGGAUGGCCAUCCAUAAAGUCCUACAUACUGUAUGAGCUGAUCCAACCUGACCUUUUUAAUGAGCUCCAGAUGGCUGCAAAACCUCCAACAGAACCUGCAUCAGCUCUUACCUGGCCUGUAUGAUGUGUGUGUGUGUGUGUGUGUGUGUGUGUGUGUGUGUGUGUGUGUGUGUGUGUGUGUGUGUGUGUGUGUUUUCCUACAUGGGUGUAAACUGACUGAAUCCAGGCUGCAGGUGUAGUGUGUCAUGGCUAAGAUCUGUGUCCAGAGGGGGGAAAAAAACAAAGUUUCAAACAAAGUGCCCUUUGCCCUCACUCCACUCUGUGCCUCUCCCUGACUUGAUCAGUGAAACUUACCAUUAUAGCUGCACCUCCAACACUCUACUCUCUCUAAUCCAUUUCUCUAAACAUUUUAGCUCAUAUUCCUUCUGAUCUUAGCCCAUUUUCUGAGUCUUACUUAGCAGGAUUUCCUUGGUUAUGGGUAGCAUGAUCAGUAAUGUGAAAAGCAUGUGUGUAUGUAUGUGGAUAUAAUUUUAUACAUGAAGCUGCAGGUAUGUGUCAUCCACAUUUACUGCAGUGUAAAAGCAUGUCGAGAAACCCCGAGGAGAAUCUGCUGAUCAGUAGUGGUGAUGUAUUUUCUUCCUUUAAGGGAGUGAUAAAAACCCAGCUUCAUUGCAGAGAAACAUUGUUGGACAUUUUCUUUUUCCAGAAAACUAAAGCUACAUGGCUUUGAUUGACUAGCCUGAGAAGGAUUUCACAAUAUUUCUGUGUGAAGUAUACUCAAACAAAAAACCCACUGAAAACCUGAAAGGCGAACGCUUGUCAGUAUGAUGUUUUAGUGGUUUGACCCUUAAACUUUGUAGAUGGGAGUCUGAAUCCCCCACUGCUUAGUUUGCAGAGUUCGCUGUGGUCUGUCCCACUUUUAAGGUUAACCUUCAAGGUGUGAGGGAUUCCCAGCCACAUAUUUUUUUAAUUUAUCAGUACCACUCGCUCUGCUAAAGGGUGGUCUUUCACAUCGCCUUCGCUUGUGGGUUUGCGCGCCUACAUGUGGUGUGAUCAUUGUUUCGUUUCUUCACAGUCUUGCCCUCUAAUGCUGUCGUCCCUAUCACCAUCUUCCCCUCUUGAUCUUUCUCUACAAUAAAUGGUUUUCACAUUGUCUGGACUUUUUUUGGCUUUAAGACAGCAGAGGUCCUGAGUUGGUGGUUUUUAGGUGACAUUUUAUCUUCUGUUUGAUGGGAAUUCAGAUGUGUGAAGCCCCCCCCCCC